AGAAAAAAGAAGAAACAAAGAACCAAAGAAGAUGUCGUUUAUGAUUAAGAUCUUAAUAACAAUGAUAAUGGCUUUGGUUAUAAUGGACAUGAGAGCAAAAAUUGUAACUGAGUGUCAGAAAACAGACUGCAAGUCUCUCUGUCAAAACAUGACCGAUAUAGCUUGUACUAAUUGUCUCUUCAGAUGCAUUUCUCCUCCAUCUUUUAAGUACUCCAACACAAGGCCGAACCAAUUGAAAAUGACCCCGAAGAUCUGUUACUAUAUUUGCUCUGGAGGUUGUGGUACAGACAAAAGAUGUGACCAUCGUUGUAAAAACUGUUGUGGUUGGCCAUCCCUCGAAACAUCUUCAUCACUGAUUUGAGAUUCUUGGGUCUUAGACUGUUGGAACUUUUGUUAUAUUUAUCUUCUUGUUAUCUAGUUGUUUAUUUUUUAUAAAUCUUUUCAUGUUGGGAUGUAAUUUGGCAUUAAAAGGUUUAAUAUAAACAAACUAAAAUCUAAUAA